UUCACCUGCCGCUGAGGCUCUUCCCCUCUCUCCCGGCUCCUUGCCUGGCUGUUUCUUACAUAUACUGCACCUCCACGGACAUGGAAUCACUUUCUUACCCAUGUGGCUUCAAGGGCUUUCAAUAGAUAGGAACUACGGUUUGAAUGUGGUCUGAAUGUGUCCUCUGGGAGAUGUUUGUCUCCCAGUGUGCAGUGUUGAGGUGGUGGAACCUUUAAGACAUAGUUUUGCCUUGUGAAAGGUAACGAGGCCAGGGCCCUGCGGCCUCAGAGGGGAUGAGUGCUCAUCUCGUGGACUGAAUUCAUUCCUGAGAAUGGGUCGUUGUCAAAGGAGCCUGGCACCUUCCCCGAACACUCUUCUGAGUGCACCACUUGCCCCUCACACAAGCUCCCCCACAUGUUCCCACCAUCAUGGUGCCACCUGCUCUUGAACAUCCAGGACUGCAAGCUAACUAAAAACUCUUUUCUUUAUCAAGUAUCCAGUCUCAGGUAUUUUGUUAUAGCAACAGAAAAUAAACUAAGACAGAAGGUCUCCCUGGGUAGUAUCCAGUUUAUCACCACCAACCUGGGCUUCCUUCUUCCCCAUGGCUUCAUAGCUCAAAACACAUUAGGCUUUGAUGUAUUUACUCUCCUUCCAUGGAAUUCUAUCCCACAUGUUAAAGGUUGAUGUCAUUGUUUCCACAUAUGACUACCAACAUCAUCCCUAAGUUAAUUGUAGUAGGUCAUGGAGCAUAAGGAUUGUGUCUCAUGCUUUUCUGUGACUCAUUAAGCUACAUCUGGUCAUGGUUCCAGCUUCAUGGGGCAAACAGGAUUAGAGAGGGAGGCCAACCUGCAGAGAGAAGCAGGGGCAGAGGUGGGUUGGAGUGGAGGCAUCCUGGGGAAUGGGCUGAAUCCACUGAUAGCAGCUCCUUGCACUAUCUGUAGUCCUUUUGGUGAGCUGAGUCAAGAGAACCUGACCAAAACAUUCAAGGUCAUGAGAUAAAAUUGCCUCUCAGUUGUACCUUCUUCCAUGUUCGGCCCUCCCAACCACGGUCAGCCCCUCCCACCCCCUCUACAUCAGGGAAGCAGAGCUCAAACACCUUCCUGGUGUGUGGGAAAAGCUAUGUGGAACCGCUUCUGCCACCAGAAGUGUGUCUUGGUGUCGCAUCGUUGAAUGGAGGAGCCAGACCACCUCUGUGGAAGUCAGAAGGUCUCCUUUGAGCCAUGGUGUUGAAAUCUAUACACGGUUCCCUGGCAAGUCACCAACACUUUAGGUUGUUUGCAAAGAGAGAAAUUAAAGGAUAAAGAAAAAAAAAAAAACAUCUACUUGGAAUCGCGCAUGAAUCUUCUCCAGAACCUUCAGGAAACAAGCCCAGAAAUGUCAAGGUUGAGCUGCUUAAGGUGACACAGAUAAUAAAUGGCCAGACACCAGGAUACAAAUCCUGACUUCUAGCAAAAUCUCCAUUCUGUUCCAGCUGCAGUCUCUGCUCCAUGGUGGAUUGCCACGUCACAUGAAGCCUUCAUUGUAGGAACUUAGAACUUCUGAUUUUGAAAAUUAUGGAAUCCUGUUGUUCUCUGUGUGCUCAGGGAGGAAGUCAGGACACUGCAAAAGGACACUCUGCAAACCUCAUUGCAUCUGGGUGCCAGUGGUUUGCCUUUUGAACUAUGGAUCCUUUGUGAUAUUCACCCUGAUAGUCUUUGUGCUUCCUGCCUCCCGAGAAGGCUGAUGGAUUCUUCUAGGUGCCGGACAUGGAGACACGUGCCUGUUGUCCCUCCAUUCAGGAGGAUGAAGCUGGAUGACUGCUUGAGCCCUUGAGUUUGAGACCAGCCUGGGCAACAUAGAAAGACGCCAUGCAAAAAAAAAAAAAAAAAAUUCUUCCGGCUUACUGUCCCCUUGUCAGGCAGGCUGCAGCCGUGCUGGCCUUCCUCUGCCUCCUUCCCUUUGGAGGCUUGCAGUUCCAGUUCCUUCUGUCUGCUCUUCUCCACCAUUCUCACACGCCCGCCCAUCUCCACCCAUCAGAUCUCAGCUCAGACCUCACCCCUAGGGGGAGCCCUCUCCACCUUGGGCACCCUAGUCUCAGCUUCCUGUUCUAGAACCUGGCUUGUCUACUCCAGGGCAUGGUGGGCAGUGACUGGGAACAUCCUUCCUCGCCGUCCUGACUCCAGAAUGCAAGUGCUUACCACGGGGACUUGGAUGCCUUGUUUUCAGAGGGGCCUUGAUAAAGAUGGCAAAAUGAAUCAAACAAAUGAGAUGAAGAGUCUGCCUGAAGGUUCGGUCUCUAACCUCUGUCAUUACUACUCAGGAAGCCGCCAAGGUUGUAAGGGCAAUUGGGGGACUGAAGGCUGUUCUUGGCAGGUGCCAGUCCCUUGGAUCCAGCUUCGCACAGAAUCCUUGCCCCCAAACAUGCGUAACCCUCCAGCAUAAACAGGAGGUGGUGAUUGGACAAUUAAAACCACAACAUUUAGAUCCUUUGAAUUUAGUUAGAUUACUCAGAAAUCAAUCAAUUCUUGUAACAAUUAGUUUAUUAUUAUUAAGUACUGGGGAUUGAAGCCAGGGGUGCUUCAUCAUUGAGACACACCCCCAGCCACCUUUUCAUUUUUUUUUUUUUUAUUUUGAGACAGGAGCUCCCUAAGUUACUGAGGCUGGCCUCGAAUUUGCAGUCUUCCUGCCUCAGCCUACCAAGUUACUGGGAUCUGGCCAGUUUUAUUAUUUUAAGCACUAAUGCAUGCUAUAGCAAAUCCCAAUGAUUAACAAAAGCCGUAGUAGCAAAUCUUUCCACUCACUACAGACCUAGACACUGUACUUUCAGAUCAAGUUUACCUAUUUUUAAUUCCUUUAUACUUAUAAUAGGUAGGUGCUAUUACAAUCAUCCCUGUUUUACAGUUGAGGAAACUGGCUCAAAAAGGUUAAAUUACCUGCCCCACAGUGUUGGUAAGUGACAGAAAAAGGAUUAAACUCAUGUUUUCUAAGACACAUCAGGAUAGGGGCAAGUCCACUUCACCCUUCUGUCUCCACCCAUCUAGGUCCCUCCCUGAAGCCAUCCUAUAUUGCCAGUUUCUUCCACAUCCUUCCAAAGAGGCCAUGCAUAUAUAAUUUCAGAUGUGUGUGGGGGGGUUCACCUAAAAACUAUAAUAAACACUCCUACUCAUUUUCUCAAUAUCAGGAACUCUCCUCAUCUUUUUUAAUAACAACAGUCUGCUGAAUAGAUGAGCUAUAAGUUAAUCAAAGGGCACUUAGGUUGUAGAUAAUCACUUGCUUUUUCAAACAAUGUCCUUUGCCUCCUUUUACCCAUACAUCCUUUCACACCUGUAUGAAUGUAUCUGUAGAUAAAUUACUUCACCCUUUUUUUCCCCCAGUAGUGGGUAUUGAAUGAACCCAGGGCCUCACACAUGCUAGGCAACUGCUCCACCACUGAACUACACCCCAGGCUUUUUAACAUUCCAUUUUGAAACAGAGUCUCACUAAAUUGCCCAGGCUGGCCUUGAACUUGUGAUCCUCCUGCUUUAGCCUCCCAAGUAGCUGGGAUUACGGGCGUGUGCCACCAUGCCUGGCUUGCAUGCAUUUUUAAAAUGUGCCCUCAGGGCUCCAUGUGAAACUAUAAAGUGCUCUCAGCUGCGUGCCAUCUCCACUGCUUGGAGGAGCAGGAAAAGAUGGGACUUUGGAACCCGCAAAUCCUGAGUUCUGUGUUCAGCCUGACCCUUCUAUACCUGCAAGAUUUUGAGCAAGAUAUCACACCUGUCUUCAUGAAGGUAACAAACUGUAGAGACUAGGAACUAAGUUAGGGUCUGGUGGGGAAGUUAUGUUCUAGAUGCUUCUAGGAAUAGCACAUCUUCACGUUUGGCCUCCAACAUAUGAUGGCUUCUCCCAGGGCACUUGGGAUUGAAUACCUGCAGUGAGGAGAGUACAGUAAGUACUGGAAGCCAAUACAUGAAGCUGGUCAGAGAGAACAAGCACAUAGCUAGGCUCCCUAGCGUUCACCACCCAUGUGUAUGUAUCUGACUCUCUGGUUUUGUCUGCUUAUUAGGAUGUUGGAGCUGCAAGGGCCGCCCCGUAUAUGUUUUCCUCACUACUGCAGCCCCAGGACCAGUGCAGUCCCUGGCCAUUGCGGAUCCUCAAUUACUCUGUGAAUGGAAAUACAACCAAAGUUCUAUUUCCAUUCUGCUCAGUAACAACACAAUGUGCGCUUCGGCCACCUCGGCUGGCUGUGGUGAUGACCAAUGGCGAGAUGCAGUGUGUUCCCAAAGUGGAGCACAGAUGCCACUCGUAGGCUGAGGGUAAAGGUUCUUAUAACCAUAUGCUUAUUUUCAUAGAUAUUAUUGCUUAGGAGGAGGAGAAGUAAAAUUUAAGGUAAUCAAUUUAAGGAAAAGUGUACUAUUAGAUGGCAGAAAGGAAUGGUGAUAAUGGAAACAUCUGGAAAAGGCUGAGUUCCUACAUCUGGAAGGAUUCCAGGUGGCCGCCUAGCACAGUCUUCUCAGUUCAUGGAGGAGGAAAACUGAGGCCCAGGAGCUAUCGGUGCUGGAAGUAAGCUGAGCUCUGGGUAACCAAGGAAAGAGGAGUAGGGCUGAGGCAGUGUAUUGGACUGUCUCCCAGCUUCUUCUGUCUGAGGCCUCUGAGAACCACCUGGCUGGGCCAACACAGGAGACUAGCUCGGCUGUAUAUGAGACAGUGUUUCCUAUUCCCACCAGCCCCACCCCACCUGAUCUGUUCCCCCUAGGUGCACAUGCCCUGGGUUAAUUAGUCCUGUGUCUUCUGUGUAAUCUCUCUGCCCUUGUCCCCAAGAUGCACCAAUGUGUCUCCUAAAACAAUGUAUCAAGUUGUAGUGUGGAAUCCACCUUUUCCCAAGGUAUCCCCCUUAUCUAGAAACUCCCACGGUCUCUCCCUUUCCCAUGCACACUCUCAAGAAUUACUGGUGCGGUUGGAAAUGCCAAGAGGCACCAAAGGCUCCUGUGACAGCAGCCCCCCCCACCUCGUUCCAAGCCCAGCCUCUGGUUGGCCAGUCUCCAAGCCUCAGCCACCUCCAUUACUGACAAGACAGAGACGACAGAGAUCAGUGUGCACCGUAGUCCUACUAUAGAACUCCAGGAGUAGUGUUGGUGCCACUGCCAACACUCCAUCCCCAAGACCCCUUCUCUGCAAGUGCAAACCCAGAAGGCCAGAGGGAGCCCUGUCCUUCUGCCUGGCCACAAGGCCUCUCUCCACCUGGCAUGCCCUUCCCCAUCCCAUAUACAUCCCAAACACCAUCUCUAGAAACCCUUCCCCCCGGGGCACCCCCCAACCAGGCCAUCCCACCCACCACCAGCCCCUGCAAGACUGUCAGCUCCUGGUGGGCAGGGACUGUAUCUCAUAUACCAUGUCUUCCUUUUGGAUUCUCAGCCCAACUGUAAGUUGCCAAUGUGACCUCCAAAAUAUAUUAUGAAGUCAUCCAUUUCUCCCCGGCUACCACUUCAGUACAUCAUCCCCACCUGGAUGCUUUGGAAAUCUCCUCUAGUUUGUUUGAGCUGCUGUAACAAAGUAGCACAAAGAGGGUGGCUUAAACUGUAAGAAUGUAUUUUCUCACAGCCCGCCCCCCCCCCCAGGGGAGAAGUCAGAGAUCAAAAUGGCAGUAGGCAAGAAUGGUUUCUCCUUGGCCUGGAGAUGUCUAUCUUCCACGACUUCUGUGGUCUGUGUGUUCUGUUUCCAUAUCCCAGCUUCUUGCAAGGACACCAGCUAUUUUGGAUUAGGACUCGGCCUCAUGAACCUAUUUUACCUUAAUGACCUCUUUAAAGAUCCUAUCUUUAAUAGAAUCACAUGCUGAGGUACUGGGGGUUGGAAUUUUCACACAGGAAUUUGCAGGAAAUACCACUUAGCCCAUAACACCUUCCCAUCCAAACCCCCUCAUGGUCCCCAUUCUGAGUAAAAUCAAAAUUAAAAGCCUCUUCCUUAACCAAUAAAUUCCUGUACGGUCUCACUUUUUUGUCAUCUCUCCAUCACAUUCUCCAUCUCUCGCCCUCCAUUCUAUUUUUGAGUAGACUGAGCUCCUGCCUCUGGCCAUUUGAGUUUGCUGCCUUCACUGCCUGGAAAGGUCCUCUUCAGCCAGUUAAAAAAACAGUUCUUUGGGGACCGAAAUGGGGCAAACUAUGUCAUAUGUAUUUACGAAUAUGUCUAAAUAAACCCCACUAUUAUGUACAAUUAUGAUGCACAAAUAAAAACAUUUUUUUAAAAAAAG
rnacentral:lncRNA from 1 species